AGGCAAACGUAAAACUUCUCAUCAGCCACUGCCACACGGGCCGGGGGCUAGCGAUCCACCGGCAUCUCUUCUUAAGGACCUAUUUCGGGAAGGAAGCAGAGGUCGUUGCUCACACAUACCUGGACUCACACAGAGUGGAAAAGCCCCAGAACCACUGGGUGCUGGUGACCGGGAGCCCCAGGAAGGACUCGCCCACCAUGCUGCACCUGCUCAGACCACCGGUGGAGGACACCUGCGCUCCAGGGCAGGCGGCUGAGCUGGGGGGCCAGUGACACACCAGGUGCGCCCUCACCCUAAGUGGCUUUCCGUGAAACCACAGUUACCUUGUUAUGACCCCAGCUUAUUUUAAGGUGGCUCUCUGAACACUAUAUUGAAACAAAGGCUAUGGGAAGAUGAAUGAGUUAGUGGUUGGUUGCGGGGGGAGGUUCAAGGUGGGCUAGGACACAGAACAAACUAGCCGAGGGGACUAGCUCAGGAAUUGUGAAGAGCUCAGCCUCCUGUUUAGAUCCCAUGUAGGGACUAUGUGUCACCUCUCAAAGCCGUGUCUGUAAUAAAGCUGUUGGACUACA